rnacentral:rRNA from 1 species
AGAGUUUGAUCCUGGCUCAGAUUGAACGCUGGCGGCAUGCCUUACACAUGCAAGUCGAACGGCAGCACGGGAGCAAUCCUGGUGGCGAGUGGCGAACGGGUGAGUAAUAUAUCGGAACGUGCCCAGUCGUGGGGGAUAACGUAGCGAAAGCUACGCUAAUACCGCAUACGAUCUAUGGAUGAAAGCGGGGGAUCGCAAGACCUCGCGCGAUUGGAGCGGCCGAUAUCAGAUUAGCUAGUUGGUGGGGUAAAGGCCCACCAAGGCGACGAUCUGUAGCCGGUCUGAGAGGACGACCAGCCACACUGGAACUGAGACACGGUCCAGACUCCUACGGGAGGCAGCAGUGGGGAAUUUUGGACAAUGGGCGCAAGCCUGAUCCAGCAAUGCCGCGUGCAGGACGAAGGCCUUCGGG